CCUACGGGCGGCAGCAGUGGGGAAUAUUGCACAAUGGGCGCAAGCCUGAUGCAGCCAUGCCGCGUGUGUGAAGAAGGCCUUCGGGUUGUAAAGCACUUUCAGCGGGGAGGAAGGCGGUGAGCCUAAUAACCUCAUCGAUUGACGUUACCCGCAGAAGAAGCACCGGCUAACUCCGUGCCAGCAGCCGCGGUAAUACGGAGGGUGCAAGCGUUAAUCGGAAUUACUGGGCGUAAAGCGCACGCAGGCGGUCUGUCAAGUCGGAUGUGAAAUCCCCGGGCUCAACCUGGGAACUGCAUUCGAAACUGGCAGGCUAGAGUCUUGUAGAGGGGGGUAGAAUUCCAGGUGUAGCGGUGAAAUGCGUAGAGAUCUGGAGGAAUACCGGUGGCGAAGGCGGCCCCCUGGACAAAGACUGACGCUCAGGUGCGAAAGCGUGGGGAGCAAACAGGAUUAGAUACCCUUGUAGUC
rnacentral:rRNA from 1 species